AUGGAUCAUUAUGUAUUGCUGCAUAAAUUCGAAGUCCUAACCUUGUUUUACUUCUCUAAAAGGGAUGGCUACAACGAUUUCAAUACAUUCUACAUACAGGUUGCAUCUGGUACUAAAGGUGGCUCUAGUGGUUCCCCUGUUGUUGAUUGCCAAGGAAGAGCUGUUGCACUGAAUGCAGGAAGCAGCAGUUCCAGUGCUUCGGCCUUCUACCUUCCAUUAGACGGUGUAAGUUGUUUAUGUAUCACCACUAAUAUAGUACUUCCUCAUGCUCACAGGAAGUUCUGGGAUCAUAGAAACCAGAUCAUCAUCUGCUACUUAAUCCAUUAA
rnacentral:rRNA from 1 species